UGUAUGAAUGUGGGGUCCACCGGGAUUGAAGAUAUGGAUAUACACUGAUUGAUUGUUGAUAUGUUUUCUUUUAGGAAGAUGUAGGUAUUAGAUUGGUAUGGUAUUAUUGUAUAGGAUUGACGUCGGCAGCAUUUUGCUUGCUUAUUUGAAUAUUUAUUUAUGACUAUUGAAUUGAUAUAGUAUAGUUUAGGGCUGGACAAGAGAAGCUGAACCGAGGAAAUCCGAUCGGUCCGAAGUUAAUUUUUCUGUUCGGAUCGGGCUACAUCGGAUUAUCGGGUCUAACGGGUGAAUGGUUUGGAUAUUAAUGGGCUACUUCGGUUCGGAUCGGUUGGAAAUAUUAGGCCCAUCGGUGACCGAAUCCGACCGAACUCAGUUACUACUUUACUAUUUAUUAACAUUAUUAGGGUUUCUUGUUCAUUUUUCUUCUUCUUCUAAACAGCGCCGCCCCCCUCACAGCUCUCAUUUGUUCAACUUCAUCUUAGAGGAAUACAACCUCCACCAUGUUUUCAUCACCGCCAUAUUCAUCUCUCCUUCUCAAUCUCUUCUCCCAAUAUCAUCCUUACAUACAUAUUAGUUUUGAAACCCAAACCCUAGCCCCCAAAUUCAGAAAAUAUCACAAUAAAUAUUUGUUGUGAGAGAUUGGAUACUACGCUCUUUCAGAACACUUGAAGAACAUCUUCCUACUAUUUGUCUAAAAGCUAUGUCUUUUAUGCAGGUGUUUAUACCUCAUUUCUGUGUUGAAUCAGAGCCUUCUUACUAUAGAGGAGAUUCAAUAUUUUCAGCUCUGAGGCAGAUAAGAGGGAUAUCACUGAAUGAAGCAAGCUCUAUAUCUCAUUAGAUUCUCAGAUUUGAGUGAAAGCAUAGCAGAGAGGUGAAUGCUAUUUUAAGGAUGUUGGUGGUAAUCUCUUGUUAAAAGAGAGGCCUUGAUGAUGGACAUAUAAGGAAGAGAUUAUGGAGUUCAAGCAAGACAAGAGAUUAUGGAGUUCAAGCAAGACAACUUAUGUUUGCUGUGUUGAUCAAAAUUAUGAGGCUUAGCAAACAAACUAUAACAUAUGGUGAAUGGUUGAGUCCCAGAUACAUAUUUGGUUACUCUAAAAAUUGGUAAGAAACCGAUUUUGUGAUAUUGUUAGUUGCAACAUGAAACUAAACAGUAUAUUACUUGGUCGUUUUUUGUGUUUUUUGAUAUAUUUUGUUUAAAAUUCUGUAUUCUUCUUCUUAUUAGUUUGUUGCCAAGUGUUAUUUAUAACCAUAUUACCAAGUGUUCAUCUAAGUCCAUAUGUUCUUGAUUAUACCGGAAAAGUAUCUGCAAAAAAUUGACUUCUCUAACCAUGAUGGUAGAGACUCCAGUGGUGGUGGUGAACUUGAGUGUUUUAAUAUUGCUGCUACUAGACUUGGAAACACAUUCAUGAGGCCUUUUUACUUGGAAUCACAAUUUCCAGAAUAUUUUGAUUUAAACUUUGGAGUUUUAGUGGCAGAUAUUUUAAAUCAGGGCCUCAAAGAUGAUUUAAACAGUGAAGUUCUUAUGGGAGAUUUUUGUUUCAAAACUAUCUUAUUAUAUUUUGUAUUUUUGAUGAUUUAGUAUUUUGUAUGGGAAAAUGGAACACAAGAAUGCUCUAAAUUAAAAUAACCAUAUUGGGUUGUAAUUUAGCCAUUUUAAA